ACUGCCCCAUAGGAACAUAUUGCCUAUCUGGAGAAGGUGUCCAGCCAUGUCCGGUGGGACACUAUUGUCUUGGUGGUGGCGUUGAAGGUAUACUACCCUGCCCACCUGGUACAUACAGUCCUCAGUUUGGUCUCAGUCAAGUGGAGCAGUGCCUCCUUUGUCCAGCAGGCUUCUAUUGUGAGGAUUGGGGUCUGUUUGAACCCUCUGGGCCUUGUCAGGCCGGUUACUACUGCAUAGCUGGCGUGAACUUUCAGAACCCCGAUGGCAACUUCAGCACAGGAGUAGGAGGAGCAUGCCCGAAGGGAAGUUACUGUCCUGAGGGCACCAGUCUGCCUAUGCCUUGUCCGCCAGGGACCUUCUC